UCACCCCUGCCUGGUUCGUGAUUGGGUAGCUGAAAUUCGAACCGAUAACGCGUCCAAGGGGGCGCUCCCUGACGGGCCAUGUGCAAGCCCUCGACCUCGGUCGAGAAGGAAGCCUGACGGUUCGCCAUAGAUGACCCCCACCUGCUUUGCGGCAGGGUUCAAUGGACGCUGCCCACACGGCCGAGGCGGGGGAUUU
rnacentral:other from 1 species